UACGGAGGAGGCAAGCGUUAUCCGGAAUUAUUGGGCGUAAAGCGUCCGCAGGUGGCACCUCAAGUCUGCUGUCAAAGACCGGGGCUUAACCCCAGAAAGGCAGUGGAAACUGAAGUGCUAGAGUGCAGUAGGGGUAGAGGGAAUUCCCGGUGUAGCGGUGAAAUACGUAGAUAUCAGGAGGAACACCGGUGGCGAAGGCGGAUCUCUGGGCCUUGCCUGACGCUGAGGAGCGAAAGCUGGGGGAGCGAACAGG
rnacentral:rRNA from 1 species